rnacentral:lncRNA from 1 species
AUGGAGAGAGGGGAAGAAAGGGAGGGGGUUGGUCCUCUUCCUCCUGGCCCUCCAGCCUGGCAGACCAGAGCCAAGAGCAAGGCUGAAUCCAACCUUGGGGAGAAAGAAGACAUCUACAGGUUUCCAUGGGAACAGGAGGAUUAUGAAUCUGUCCCCUUCUCCUCCCCUCCCCCAGUCACCACCGUUCUCUCCCAGUCCCCAUACAAACAGUAUCAGGAAAUGGAGAGUAUUCUCAUCUACACCACUGCCAAGCCACCAAGAAUUGAUUUGAAAAUAGAUAUUAGAAGGGCAGCUAUUGGCACAAUGGAUAGAAAGCCAGGCCUAGAGACAGGAGAUCCUCCAAUCAAAUCUGGCCUCAGGCACUUCCUGGUUAUAUAACCCUAGAAAGCUCCACACACACAAAAGGAAAGUUAAUGUCAUCUUGGACCUCACUGAGAUACAAAAAUUCUAAGACUGCAUUCAGCACUCCUCAGACAACAUCUGAAGUUCUGUGUUCACUUCUGGAUGCCGCUGUUCACUGAUAAAAGCAGAAUAUCCAGAGGUGGGCAACUGAAUGGUAAAGGGCCUGGAGAGUAUGCCAUAUAAGGAUCAAUCAAAGGAACUGGGGAUAUUUAACUUGGGAAAGAGAAUACUCAGGGGAUAUAAGUACCUUCAAGUAUUUUAAGGACUCUCCUGUAGAAGAGGGAUUAGGCUUAUUCUGUUUGGUUUCAGAGGGCAAAGUUCCAAGCAAUGGAUGCAGUUGAGGUAAAUUUAAACUUGCUAUCAGGGGAAUUAAAAAAACAACAACACACACACACAAUAAUUUAAAGUAUCCCAAGCAGAACAGGCAGUGUUGGGAAAUAGUAGGUUCCUCAUCGUUGAAGGACUGCAAAUAAAGGCUGGAUGACACUUGGUUAGAUAGAUUGA